CCUACGGGUGGCAGCAGUCGAGAAUCAUUCACAAUGGGGGAAACCCUGAUGCUGCGACGCCGCGUGGGGGAAUGAAGGUCUUCGGAUUGUAAACCCCUGUCAUGUGGGAGCAAAUUAACAAGAUAGUAACACAAGACGAAGAGACGGCUAACUCUGUGCCAGCAGCCGCGGUAAUACAGAGGUCUCAAGCGUUGUUCUGAUUCACUUGGCGUAAAGCGUGCGUAGGCUGGUUGGUAAGUCGUGUGUGAAACGCCCGGGCUCAACCCGCGGACGGCACAUGAUACUGCGAGACUAGAGUAAUGGAGGGGGAACCGGAAUUCUUGGUGUAGCAGUGAAAUGCGUAGAUAUCGGGAGGAACACUCGUGGCGAAGGCGGGUUCCUGGACAUUAACUGACGCUGAGGCACGAAGGCCAGGGGAGCGAAAGGGAUUAGAUACCCCUGUAGUC
rnacentral:rRNA from 1 species